rnacentral:rRNA from 1 species
CCUACGGGGGGCAGCAGUGGGGAAUAUUGGACAAUGGGGGGAACCCUGAUCCAGCGACGCCGCGUGAGUGAAGAAGUAUUUCGGUAUGUAAAGAUCUGUUGCCAGGGACGAAUAAGCAAUGCGAAUAGUUUUGUGUAUGACGGUACCUGUUUAGAAAGCUCCGGCUAACUACGUGCCAGCAGCCGCGGUAAUACGUAGGGAGCAAGCGUUGUCCGGAAUUACUGGGCGUAAAGGGCGCGUAGGUGGGCGCUUAAGUCAGGUGUGAAAACUCCGGGCUCAACCUGGAGACUGCACUUGAAACUGGG